rnacentral:lncRNA from 1 species
AGCAGACGAACCGACGUAGUCGAACGGGUCCUCACAUCCGACACGCUUGCGGAACUCUAACGAGACGAAGCAAACCGGAAACACAAAUCAACACACGAUAUUCACCACACGAUGCACAACACAUAUGAUGCAUGAGCAGCUGAAUACAUGCAAGACACGGCAUGACACUUCACACAAUCAAACACUACACAUUAAGUGAAGUUCAAUAUGCAACGGGUUGCAUAUUGACGAAACUCUACAUAUGAAUUAUUUAGUUCACUCCCGGUUAUUUACACGGCAAUAUUAAAAGGUUGUUAACAUGGCAAGGGGGUGAAGCACAAAUAUAACUACCUAUCUAUGCAAUUUAAAUGAGGCCGGAAACAACUUAUAGCAUCUCCGAAAUGUCCCCACGCGUUAAAUUCUAAUUCUGUCCAGAUUUGUCCUAAUCACAUUUUAAGUUUGUUAAACAGCAAAACAAAGUGGUUCACGUGAUUCUACGUGUCAAGACAAGCAAUCUACACAUAGAGAUCAUCUCCAACGGAGCUACGGGCAAAUAGUUACGACCUAAACCGUUUUUAUCACGUCGACACGCAAACCGAAGCAAGCAGCACCCUAAACAGCCUUUGACAUGCAUGAGAGUUGGACAUUGUUGAUCUACGCGAUCCUAGGCAAGUUACUUAUUUAUAUCACUCCGAUCCGAUGCACGGUUUGAAAUCUACGGGGGUUUGAAAACAAUAUGCAAUUUUCUGCACUGCGGACGAAUCGUGACAAGACAUGGGUUCUACACUCUAUGAGAUAUACCUUGCGCAACCUGUCGAAACUGAACUCCAAAGACACAACCUGCUGCUGCCAAGGCGGGGCUGCAGUUGCUCGCGUCAGCGGGAUGGCGUAUGGCUUCAGUGGGGCGUCGACGGGGGAUGGAACCGGGGGGCGAGGUACUGCAUGGGAGCCGUCCUUGGCGCCCGCGAGGCAGCCUGUAGAUCCGGUGGCCGACGGCAAGAGGCCGGACCUGGCGCGCUCUGGAGCCUGUGGUGGCCAUGGCGUGCUGCUACUGUAAACAGAGAACAAAAAGGAGGAAGAGAGAGAUUUGAGAGAGGGAAUAUGUGAAACCGAAGGAGGAAGGAGAGUAGGAAGGAGAGGGGAACGGGAGAGGUUCUGGCCUGGGAGGACGGGCUCGGUCGUGGCGGGCUGCUGCUUGGAGACAACGGCAUCUGAAGAUGCACUGCGGCAAGCUUCUGGCUGCGCGGUGCAGGCAAGGCGCGGGAGAACGAACACGGGGACGGGGGGAUGCUGGUCUGCGGGGCGAGCUCCUGUGGAUCGAGGCUACUGGCGGCGCUGGAUGGAUCGGGCGACGGGACCGAGGGCUUCCUCGAUCUGGCUGCUGCGGGCGCUGGGGAUCUGGUUGUCUGAUUGGCGAGGAGGUAAAAAAACGAGGAAGAGACCAGGUGAUGUGCGGCGGCAGCAGUUGGGACUGAUUGGUCUAGGGUUUGCCUGCUUAAAUAAAUAGGUGGGUUUGGAUAGGGUUGACUGGACCCUCCGAUAUAAAUCGGACGGUCGAGAAUGAAUAGGCUAGGGAGUCCAAUGGACAAACCGAUGACUGUUUGCGGUAAAACGGGGUGGAUCCGGACCCAACGGUCACGACUAUAUGAUUCAGGUUCCGGGAGGUUUUCGGACUAGGCCGCGCAUAGGGUUGGUGCACUGUGCAGAGGGGCUAGGCGGGGAUGAGAGAAAAAACGGGCGGCGCGGCAACGUGAUUUAAAACACCGGGACACGUCUGACGAAUAACCGAAGACGGUGCCGCUACGGACGACCGUUCGGGUACGAGACGGACUCCGAUUGCGACGAAACUUGACAGGCGGCCUACCUAUAAUAAAAUACGACCGCACGUCAAAUCUCAACCCAAUCAGAGAAGGUUUUACGCACACUUUUAAAACAGGGUUUUGACGGUGCCGCGGGCGCGUGCGAGUGCGAUCGGACUCAGAACGGACAACGACGAGAACCGGCAACUACUAACGAAAGCAAGUUUUGAAAACUGGCGGCAACGGAGAUGCCGAUGCAAUGCUGAUGAUGCGCAUGAUGCGAUGAUGAUGCGACAAAAAAAACAGACACACGACGAAAACGGAAAGGAAAGGGAAUCUUCUGGAACAUCGGUAUCGGGCUGUCACAACUCUCCUACACCACAAGAGGAUCUCGCCCCGAGAUCCAAGAAUGAAAGGGGGGAGGAUGAGAAAGAACAAGAGGUAAAAACUAGUCGGUUCUUUGACAAAUGAGUGAAACCAACAAUUCUUGAAGGUUGCAAAGAGAUGAAGGAUGAGAUGAGAAAGAAGCAAGAAUUCACGGAAAAUUUCGGGAGCACUUCGGUAGGAAAAUGGGACAAAAAAUUCGAUAAGAUGAAAGAAAUAGACAAUAUUUAUAACAAACAACUAAACAGAGCAAGGGAACACCAAGAUCUUGAUAGAACAACAAGAUAGACCCAAAAGAGCAACAUCACAAUGACUCCGGAACAAGAGAAUAUGAACUAUCUCAUACGGAAGAAGAGAAAGAAGAAAAUAAUGACAACUACUAACUCCAAUGAACUUGACAAGCAUCCUUGCGAGAAGAAUUGAACCGAGUUGUUGGGAAAACAACAACGAAAAGAACAAGAUAGUAGUGGGCUUAUGGAAACCUUUCAAACUAAUGAAGUGACAACCAGCCACUAAAAGAAACAAGGAUUGAUUGGGAGAAACAAGAUAUGAACAAUUUCUUACACCAAGAGGAUACAUUGAGAACUUGGAUUAAUGGCAAGCACCAUGAUAGCACAAUCCAUAGGAAAAGCUUUAGGUGAAAUCCAACCCAAGAUAGCUCAAUGAAGAAGUCAUGGGUUGGAAAUAUCUCAUGAACAUAGAAUUGGUGGAUUUAAUUAUCUCAUUCUUGAAAGGAAAACUCUUCGAAACUCCUACACUAACAAGAAUACCAUAAUACCACCUCAAAGGACAAAGGAAGAACAAAUGCACUGAAAUGCAAGGGAAAGAAUGCUUGAGAUUCUCCAACAAGAAUCUUGAAGAACACUUGAGAAUGAAUUGAUAUCAUGACGAACCACCAUGAAGGACCUCCGUAUACAAAUGAACGAUGCAAUGAUAUGAAGGAUGAAAAGAAUAAGAUUAUGACCUUACCAAGAUUUAGAUGAAGCCUCACGGAGAGAAACUUGAAAGAACUUAGAACUCCGGAAAAGAAAAGAUAAGAACACUUGAGAAAAGAAUUGAUAUCAUUAGCCACUCCGGAAGAAGAAUUGAAAUCAUUUGAUGAAACAAGAAUAAGAAUUAUGUUAAUCUAAUCCUUCAUCAAGUUAAAUUGACGACAAUCAACGGAUUUAGCAUACAACUUAUUCCUCUUGAAAGAAUCUUGAAGAGACAGAGUGAUAUAUAAAGCACAAAAUAGAAGAAAUGUUGCAAGAAACACCGGUAAGAAUUCACAAUUGAAUGGGAACACCACGAAUUAAUGGAGAAACAUGAGAAUGAAGAGCUCAUGAGCCACCUGAGAGAAAACUUGAACAAGGCACCGGAUAAUCGAGAGACGAACGAAGAGACAAUAAUGGAGAAGAAUUGAGGAUGAAAGCUGAAAGCUGAGAACGAAGAAUCUUCUGAAAUGAUGGCCUUCGGAGGAACGAGAAAUAAAAAACAAUUCAGAAACGCACCGGAUAGCAAGAAAGAGAUUACUCAUGAUUGACAACAAAUGAGAGGAUAACACGAAGCUGAGAUGACAAUCUUCACAAGAAUGGAAAAAGACUGAGAGAAACACUCCUUCGAAUUUGCAAGCCGAGAAUGAUGGCGAGAAACAACACCAUGAAUACUGAGACACUCCGGAAUAAUGAAGAAUGAAAGGUUGAGCCAAUAUGAGAAUUAAUGCUAAUUGAUCUAGAAGAAGGAAUAUGACUGAUGAAAUUCAUACUUACGUCAUAGUUGAAAAGAAUUAAUGAACUCCGGGAAAAGAUUAAAAGAGCUAGGAAAGAUCCUCGGAAAGAACCUGUGGGUUAAGGGCCCACUCAAAGAAAUAACCGUUGAAAAGAAUACUAGAAAGAGAGAUAUUGCACCGGUAUGAAGAGAACUAGAUGGGGUUGAGCACCUCGAAAUAAUUAAAAGAUUGAAAACCAGAACUUCUGAGACAACUUCAGCACUCCGGAUAGACUAGAGAGAAAUGAAUAACAAGAUAGGCUAAUAAGAAUUUCCAACACAGGAAAAAUUACAAGGAUGAAUAGGAUAUGAUGAACACGGAAAACUGAAUUAAAUUCACCGGUAAGGAUGACAAGAAUGAACAAAUAUGACACGAAUCUCCUGAGAAUCUUCACAAUGAAUCACCGGUUACGAAAGAAAGAAGAGAUAGCGGAAGCAUCACUGAAAUGAAAUGCAGUUGGAUGAAAUCCAAUCACUGAAGAAAAAGGGCGGGAGGGCGGGAAAAACAAAGACAACAUGGGACAGAUGAGAUGAACUCCGGAAUAAAAUGAGAGAAUGAUCUGCAACAACUGGAGAAGAUUGAAUUCAGUUGCAGAGAAGCACACCGGUAAAAUGGAAUUGAUACGACGACUCCGGUUGACAAGAAUUGAUAAGACAACUGAUUGAGCAAAAGAAUUAGCAUUCCCACAAAAAUAUGAGAACACCGCUUAGGAAAGAUCUGAAAUCACCACUUGACAUCGAAGCAACACAAAUUACCAUAGUUCAACAAAAUAAAGGGAUGAGGCUUAUGAAACAAGCCAGAACAAACUCAUGAGAAAGAUUUCGUCCGAUAUUUUCGUGGACAGGCUCGCACGGGCUCGAUUGUAUAGUAGCCAUCAAGUGCAAGGCAGUGCACCCGACAUACGAUGCGUCCCCGAGUCGUAGCAAGCUACAAGGACUCUUUAAGACACAACGUGUACCUCUGUAAGUCGACCGUGAACAAACGAAUCCACUAGAUGUCGAACCCCAACCUAACAUCAUGCAUUUGUUGGAAGAUUGUCCUAUAAGCAACUACUUGGAUUCCCACCUAUGAAUUCCCGAAAUAUCUGGUCAUGCAAUCUGGUAUACGGAUACAAGGAGUAAUAUCACACAACUCCUAUACUAACCCGUCACAUGUAUCACAUCCGUCAACACACAACCAGAAUCUCGGACCUUCAUCUACAACAGACCCUCGUGAUCACAACGAUACAAAGUAUGGCAGUACUCCCGAACAAUCUGCACCAGUAGUGGGGACAUCGGGGUUAUCUCGCCACUACUAGUAUUGAAGCAAUUACGAACAUCCUUCGUUCUGAGAUACUAAGAAAUCUGAAUGAUAACAAUGUGCUCAAGAAUCCCGUGGAGCUCAACUCCCCUGAGACUUAGAGCAGAUAGGAGGCACCAAGACAGAACUCCGUCACAUCGGCAUCAUAUAGAUCUCAAAAAUAUCCGCGUGAUCCUAAAUUUUUUUUUGAGUGAGAAGAGGAGUAGAGUAAAUUAUUAUGUCAAGAUUCCUCACCAGAGCAUAGAAGAGGAGAAAAAAGAAUCCUACUCUCCGAUAUAUAACUAAGACUCAAAUAGUUUUUCACUAGACUCGACUCAGCCAAGUUCGAUCAAUCAAGGGGGCUCCUAGGUCGGUAUGGCUCUGAUACCAACUUGUCACGCCCAAGAUGCGACCCUAUCCUCAAUUUGGCACGAAGGCCUCGUCAGGGAUAGAAGCACAUCUCGUCGUGUCGCAAGAAUGGAUAUCGUUACAAGUACAUGUACUGAAAAAGAAGAGAUAUAUAUACAGAGUUGGCUUACGCUCGCCACAAACUACAUCAGAGUCACAUCAGUACUUUACAUAAUCAUCAAGAGUAAGAGCAGGGUCCGACUACGGACGAAAACAAACGACAAAAGAAGAACGACGUCCAUCCUUGCUAUCCCAGGCUGCCGUCCUGGAACCCAUCCUAGAUCGAUGAAGAAGAAGAAGAAGAAGAAGAAACUCUAAAUCAACAAUCAACGCGCUCGCGUCAAGUAACCUUUACCUGUACCUGCAACUGGUGUUGUAGUAAUCUGUGAGCCACAGGGGACUCAGCAAUCUCAUUUCCAAAGGUAUCAAGACUAGCAAAGCUUAAUGGGUGAGGCAUGGUUAAGUGGUGAGGUUGCAGCAGCGGCUAAGCAUAUAUUUGGUGGCUAACUUACGAGUACAAGAAAUAAGAGGGGGGAAGAUCUACGCAUAUCGGACGUGAACUACUGAUGAUCAAUUGAAUGAUCCUGAACACCUACCUACGUCAGACAUAACCCCACCGUGUCCUCGAUCGGAGAAGGAACUCGCGAAAGAGACAGUCACGGUUACGCACACAGUUGGUCAGUUUUAAUUAAGUUAACUUCAAGUUAUCUAGAACCAGUGUUAAACAAAGCUUCCACGUUGCCACAUAACCGCGGGCACGGCUUUCCGAAAGAUUUAACCCUGCAGGGGUGCUCCAACUAGUCCAUCACAAAUUACCACAAGCCGCAUAGAAAUCCUCAAUCACGAAGCUCGCGAUCUCGUCGGAUUCCCUAGUGGAAAACCUCAACUCUGAGAUUACCCAAAGCAUCACCGGAAUCCCGAUGCACAAGAUAUAUCGUCAAAGGUUAAACUAAUCCAGCAAGGCCGCCCGACGUGUCGUCGAUCCCGAUAGGAGUCGCGUACCUCGUUCUCAGGACACGGCGGAUGAGCUAGACGUCGGGAUCGCUAAACCUCCGGGUGACCAGAGGGGCGCCGGACAUCGCUCAGGUGGGGCCAACACUCAUGAGGAGCGCUGGCCCGGGGGUUGAUUAAAUUAUCCUCGGGGCCCGGGAAGUCCCUAUGCAAUUUUAUUAGGUGUUUAGGCAAAUGUAGUACCAAAGUUGGGCCUUGCCAGACCAGCUUUAAUCUAAAACGAAUUAUCAAGGGGGUCCCCAUAACAACCCCGAUCGUGUUAGGAGCGCUCAUUUAUGGAACAUAACACCGGUAGCCGGAAACUAAGGGGGCAAAGGUGGAACAAAACACCAGGCUAGAAAGGUCGAGCCUUCCACCUUUUACCAAGUAUAUAGGUGCAUUAAAUUAAAUAGCAUUUAAUAUGGUAUUAUAACAAGGAACCCAUGUUUCACAUGGAAGCAACUGCACCUGCAACUAGCAACGCUAUCAACAGGGUUAAGCAAGCAGUAACAUAGCCAAUCAGUGGUUUGCUGGGAUGAACAAGUUGAUGGUUUUCAUGGCAUUGUCGAGAGGCUCAUAUUUAUCAUGUGGUAGGCAACGAGACAUAAACGAUAGCAACGGUAAAACUAGCAUGGCAAUGAUAGUAAUGGUAUCUGGGGAAAUGAUCAUCUUGCCUGAGAUCCCGCUUGGAAGAAGAAUGCCUCCAUGAAGCAGACGAACCGACGUAGUCGAACGGGUCCUCACAUCCGACACGCUUGCGGAACUCUAACGAGACGAAGCAAACCGGAAACACAAAUCAACACACGAUAUUCACCACACGAUGCACAACACAUAUGAUGCAUGAGCAGCUGAAUACAUGCAAGACACGGCAUGACACUUCACACAAUCAAACACUACACAUUAAGUGAAGUUCAAUAUGCAACGGGUUGCAUAUUGACGAAACUCUACAUAUGAAUUAUUUAGUUCACUCCCGGUUAUUUACACGGCAAUAUUAAAAGGUUGUUAACAUGGCAAGGGGGUGAAGCACAAAUAUAACUACCUAUCUAUGCAAUUUAAAUGAGGCCGGAAACAACUUAUAGCAUCUCCGAAAUGUCCCCACGCGUUAAAUUCUAAUUCUGUCCAGAUUUGUCCUAAUCACAUUUUAAGUUUGUUAAACAGCAAAACAAAGUGGUUCACGUGAUUCUACGUGUCAAGACAAGCAAUCUACACAUAGAGAUCAUCUCCAACGGAGCUACGGGCAAAUAGUUACGACCUAAACCGUUUUUAUCACGUCGACACGCAAACCGAAGCAAGCAGCACCCUAAACAGCCUUUGACAUGCAUGAGAGUUGGACAUUGUUGAUCUACGCGAUCCUAGGCAAGUUACUUAUUUAUAUCACUCCGAUCCGAUGCACGGUUUGAAAUCUACGGGGGUUUGAAAACAAUAUGCAAUUUUCUGCACUGCGGACGAAUCGUGACAAGACAUGGGUUCUACACUCUAUGAGAUAUACCUUGCGCAACCUGUCGAAACUGAACUCCAAAGACACAACCUGCUGCUGCCAAGGCGGGGCUGCAGUUGCUCGCGUCAGCGGGAUGGCGUAUGGCUUCAGUGGGGCGUCGACGGGGGAUGGAACCGGGGGGCGAGGUACUGCAUGGGAGCCGUCCUUGGCGCCCGCGAGGCAGCCUGUAGAUCCGGUGGCCGACGGCAAGAGGCCGGACCUGGCGCGCUCUGGAGCCUGUGGUGGCCAUGGCGUGCUGCUACUGUAAACAGAGAACAAAAAGGAGGAAGAGAGAGAUUUGAGAGAGGGAAUAUGUGAAACCGAAGGAGGAAGGAGAGUAGGAAGGAGAGGGGAACGGGAGAGGUUCUGGCCUGGGAGGACGGGCUCGGUCGUGGCGGGCUGCUGCUUGGAGACAACGGCAUCUGAAGAUGCACUGCGGCAAGCUUCUGGCUGCGCGGUGCAGGCAAGGCGCGGGAGAACGAACACGGGGACGGGGGGAUGCUGGUCUGCGGGGCGAGCUCCUGUGGAUCGAGGCUACUGGCGGCGCUGGAUGGAUCGGGCGACGGGACCGAGGGCUUCCUCGAUCUGGCUGCUGCGGGCGCUGGGGAUCUGGUUGUCUGAUUGGCGAGGAGGUAAAAAAACGAGGAAGAGACCAGGUGAUGUGCGGCGGCAGCAGUUGGGACUGAUUGGUCUAGGGUUUGCCUGCUUAAAUAAAUAGGUGGGUUUGGAUAGGGUUGACUGGACCCUCCGAUAUAAAUCGGACGGUCGAGAAUGAAUAGGCUAGGGAGUCCAAUGGACAAACCGAUGACUGUUUGCGGUAAAACGGGGUGGAUCCGGACCCAACGGUCACGACUAUAUGAUUCAGGUUCCGGGAGGUUUUCGGACUAGGCCGCGCAUAGGGUUGGUGCACUGUGCAGAGGGGCUAGGCGGGAUGAGAGGAAAAACGGGCGGCGCGGCAACGCGAUUUAAAACACCGGGACACGUGCGACGAAUAACCGAAGACGGUGCCGCUACGAACGACCGUUCGGGUACGAGACGGACUCCGAUUGCGACGAAACUUGACAGGCGGCCUACGUAUAAUAAAAUACGACCGCACGUCAAAUCUCAACCCAAUCAGAGAAGGUUUUACGCACACUUUUAAAACAGGGUUUUGACGGUGCCGCGGGCGCGUGCGAGUGCGGUCGGACUCAGAACGGACAACGACGAGAACCGGCAACUACUAACGAAUGCAAGUUUUGAAAACUGGCGGCAACGGAGAUGUCGAUGCAAUGCUGAUGAUGCGCAUGAUGCGAUGAUGAUGCGACAAAAUAAAACAGACACACGACGAAAACGGAAAGGAAAGGGAAUCUUCUGGAACGUCGGCAUCGGCCUGUCACAAGUUAGAUGUACAAGUAUCAUCAACAAUAUGAGAGGAGUAAGUAGCAGUUAGAGACUUCUCAUGAGUAGAUUGAAGCUCCUCAUAGAUCUUAGAGGUUUUGAUGAGCUCUCCCUUGACACUAUUGCAUUCAAGGAGAAGGACCUCAAAAUCCUUUUUAAGUUUAUCAUGAGCAACUUCAAUCUUUUCUUUUGAAAAUCUUAAGUCUCUACAUGCUUGAUGACUCUUCUCAAGUUCAUGUUCAAGUUUUUCACUUUUAGCUUGUUCAUGAUUAAGUGAAUCAUUAGAAUUUUUAAAGUAAGCAAGAACAUCUUGGAAUCUUUGAAGAGCGUUAUUUUUAGCUUUAUGAAGAAUUUUACUGAUCACAUAGAUAUUUUCAGUGAAGUCAUCAUCAUCAUCCUUAUCGCAAAUAUCAUCGUUAUUGCACAGGGAAGAUGAUACCUCAUUAUUACCUCUUGCCAUGAGGCACAUGUGAACUGGAGAAGUUGAUGAUGAUUCUUUUGGUGACUCAGAUUCUUCAUUAGUCAAAAGUACUUCAUAUUUCUUGAUUUCCCCUGAAUGAUUAGUCAUAGAGCAACUAGGGAGAAACAAGAUAUUUUGAUCAAGAGGACACGGGAUAGCAGGCAUAUCACCACAGACAUUUGUCGAGGGAUCUUUAGGUGAAAUGCAUGACCUAUCAGCACAAUAAUUUACACUAUGUGUGGUGCUAGAUAUGCUCGUGUCCAUAUAGGCUAUGACAUUUUCAUCAACAUAUAUUUCUUCACUCACCAUGUCAUUACCUUGUGAGAUUGAAGAUGCUGAGGUGUGCAAGCAAUCGGAUAUGGGAGUAGUGGUGGACUCUUUAUGAUCGAAAAGAGUGAAAAGCUCAUGCACCAACUCCUUCAUCGUAAUAUCGUCUUCAUCAAGAUUGGACCCACCAUAUAAAUCUUCAAGUAUAGUCCAAACUUCAUGAGCUGUCUUGCAAGUUGAGAUAGACUUAAACACCUCGGGACUUAUGGUUCGAUGAAUGGCAAGAAAAGCCUCACAAUCAAGAUACAUUUCAUUAGUAGAUGAAGAUGCAUCAUCCUUUUUGUCGGCAAUCCCUACAAGAACAAUUCAUAAAGUAUUUGGGCCCAUGGUCCAAAAGUGAUGAAGCAUACGAAUUCUCCAUAGGGUAUAAUUUGUGCCAUCAAAGUCAAAGGUGUCAUUGUACACUAAUCCAAUAGUCGACAUCGAUACUCUCUAGGUCGUGAAACCUAAUUAAAGAGAGACCUUGCUGUGAUACCAAUUGAAAAGACCACGAUGUCGCCUAGAGGGGGGUGAAUAGGCUAUUUAAAAACUUCUUCGGAUUUGGCUUAAACCUAAUGCGGAAAUAAACUAAGAGGAUACUUUUAAGGCACAAAUCCUAAAUGCAAUAGGCACCGCAACGUGUAUCAACAACACGAUCUACCAAGAUGGACACAAUACAGUUACUAACAAGCACAAGCAAGUUACACAAACUUACUUGAGCUAUAUCACACGACAAGUAGGUGAACGACACAAGAUACUAGAUCACACUAUAACACACGAUAUAUCAGAAGCUGCAAGUGUGAACGUGUGGAUAUAGAGGGUAUGCUUGAACGAUUAAUCUUGUACGAAGAAAUAGCCAACACAAUAUAAUAAGCACAAACAAUAUGCAAUGUAUGUAUGCUCAAGUAACACAAGUAAACCACACGUAAGGAGUUAGGGUUAAGGAUAACCAAGGUCACUGAGACGAAGAUGUAUCCCGAUGUUCACUUCCUUGGAGGGAAGCUAGUCACCGUUAGAGAGGUGGAUGUUACCACGAAGGCACACCAACGCCACGAAGGCUCACCCUAUUCUCCCUUUGAGAUAACACCACGAAGGCGUUUCUCAACCACUAGUGGUCAGCCUUUGAGGUGGCUUCCAAACCCUCACAAACUUUUCCGGCGGUAAUCACACGGAUUGAUUCCUCUCCGAAGAACUCCUACCGCCUAGGAGUCUCCAACCUCCAAGAGUAACGAGAUCACGGGGAAUGCUCAAAACUUGCUCAAAUCUCAAAUAGCUUGGGUUGAGAGAAGGAGAGGGAGACGAUCUAUCUUUUGAUUGGAACAACUCUCAAAGGGGCUCACAAAUGCUCUUGGGAUCUAAGAUUUGGUGUGAGCAAAUGUGUGUGGGGUAGAAAUGUGUUCUUACGAGGAUAUGGCUGUGUUGGGCACCCUCUCACGAAGUGGGAGGGGGGUAUUUAUAGUGGAGAAGGGAAAGUGACCAUGGGGGUCACUUAAGUCUGACAGUGGUCGGACGUCCGGCAGUUCUCGGAUGUCCGGACGCCCACAAGGGGUCGGACGUCCGACAGGGGUCGGUCGUCCGAGGGAUGUACAUAUAUCAGGAACCACUGUGAAGUCGAACAGGGACCGGAUGUCCGGAGGAAGCCGGGUGUCUGAGACUUUGGCUCUGUUCAAGGGCACCGGAUUUCCGAAGGAGGUCGGACGUUCGGCCCUCGGACGACCGGAGGAGGCCGGAAGUCCAUGUUAUUUGACUCAAAUUUCUCUGGUGCAAGAUUCCAGAUUUCCGAAGGAGGUCGGGCGUCCGGCCAUCGGACGACCGGAGGAGGCCGGAAGUUCGUGUUAUUUGACUCAAAUUUCUCUGGUGCAAGAUUCCGGAUUUCCGAAGUGGUCGGGCGUUCGUCCCUCGGACGUCCGGAGGAAGCCGGAUGUCUGAGGCAUUGGUUCUGUUUUCAGAUAACAGCAGAGAAGUGGAGAUGUGGUAUGAGCAAAAAAGUAGAGAUGUAGUUUGAGCAAGUUCAUCGCAAAACCUGUGAUCCCCUCUUAAUAGUGCGGGAUCCCUAAAGACUCAAGAAUCAUAAAAGGGUACCGAUGAUCCAUACUUGAGUGUAUACAUAUAUUCGCUGAUCAUCACUCCGCACCACUAACGUCAAAGGAACUGAUACCUUUGAGUUAGCCCUUUCACUUGAGCUUGAUGUUGUUGUUCCUUUUUGGCUCAAGUUGAAAGCAAGACAUGAUGAAGUCUUCAAGUAGUUCUCCCAUACACAAUGUGGAAAGCCUAGCUUAUGUAUUCAUCUUCAUUUGUCCACCAUGUGAACAUCCACAAGAAUCAAGCAUGUAGUGCUCAGGAAUGCUUAUCUUGAUCUUGUCCUUGUUAGCACAUGAGCUUGUCCUUAUCAACACAUGAUCAUUAACAAUAGUUUAAGGGGGAUUAGUGAUUAAUUAUCUAUAUGUGUGUUGUCAGCAACACCAAAACACGAUUAAGGGCAUGACUGCACUUUCAAGUUCAAAUUGUCCACUUUUAUUCCCUAAAAGUCUCUCAUGUUUGAUUUAGAUGGGACUAAAAGGGACUUUUUUAGUCCCUACAUCAAAAAGUCCCUGUAAACAAACACCCCCUAUGUUGCAUAUGGUAACCCCUUAACUUAUGUUCCUUCAAUGGCUUCUACAUCUCCUUGCUAGCGGCAAGUGGCUAUCGUGGUCUGCAAAGUUUUAUAUGUUGAAGGUGUUUGCGGGUGUUUAUUGCUUGUUCAAUGUCUUUUUAAAGUUCCCGUGUAUGGCAUGCAAUUGGAGAAAGAAAACAACCAAUAUGAUUUUUGAUGUAAUUUUUAUUUUUCAUUUUCCAUUUAUUAUUUUUCUUUGAUGUUUUUCAAAACAAUAGUAUCACUACCAAGAUCAUCAAUGGUGCUGAAACGUCGUCAAUCGGGCCAGACUACAAUCGGGCCAGACUAAAAGAGCACCCAUGACGAUCUCUCCAAUAGUACAAAAUAUUUUUCUCAUGUUCUUAACACUAACUAUGUAACAAGUUAAUGCUAUUUUAAAACUAUUUGACGAGAAUGUGAUGAUGCUUAGAUCAAAAUAAUAUUUUUUUCAUAAAUUUUGGAUUAUGGCACGUCCAACGUUGAGUUUCUUGGUCCGUUACGGCAAUCUGUUGAUGUAAACUAGGGUGUACGCGUACGUAAUAAGGCUAAUAUACACAUCCACGUGUACUCACUUGGGAUGCAUACGGAAGGAGCCAAUGCAUGAAGUGCCUCCCUAAAUGGGCCAGACCCAUGAAUACAUAAGCAUGUCAUACGCUACACGCGUAAGCAUGUGCACAACGUAUUAUUUUAUUUCAUUUUUACUUUCUGAAAUUUAUGAAAAAUAGGUUAGGAAACUUUAAGAAGAUUGUUCAUAAUUUAUCUAAAAAGUGGUUUUAAACUAUGCUUAUUGCAUAUUUUAGAGAUGUUUAUUGUGUUUUAAAAAAAUCUUUAUCAUGUAUUACAAAUAUGUUCACGUGGUUUAUAUUAACGACAAUCAUGUGUUGAAAAUUCAUGAAUACUUAAAAAAAUUCAUUAUGUAUUAAAAAUAACCGCACGCCUGAAUAUGUUAACAACAUUUACAAAAUAUUCACAGGUUCAGAAAAUGUUCAUGAGAAUAUUAAAACAUUGUUCAUGUAAUUUGUAAAAAGUGAUGGUACCACUAAAAAUAUUAUUCAUGGUAUUUUAAAAUAUUUAUGUGUUUAGAAAUAUGUCUAGCAAUAUUUUUAAAAUUGGUCAUAAUUUUUCUUAAUUUUGUUUGCAAUUUUAGCAAUAUAUUUGUAACACAUAAAAAAUUAUGCUAUUUAUAAAAUAUGAUCAAGUAACACAUGACAAUCUUAUCCAACUCAUUGGCACUCUUUGGGCUAUAUGGUAUGCUAGCUGGCAAGCUCUCCACGAGCAAAUCUUUCAAAGUAUGCAUGCCGCCCAUGGCUUCAUAUCACGGAAUAUAUAAAAUAACUAGAUGAAUGCAAGCCAAGGAAAGCUCAUGAGACAGUUCCUCCUACAACAAGACAAUAGCAAACAAGAUGGAUCCUGCUGGUGCAAGGAGUCGUCAAGAUCAAAGUAAAUGGUUGGGUGUUGCGUGAGUGAAAUGAGGAAGCCUACGUCGUUGUAUGUAUAGAUUUCGAGGGCACCAAUCUAGGAGCCUCAUCUAUCAUGUGCUCCGACACUACGAAUCCAUGACUCUUGAAGCGCUUGCUUGUCGAGAGGCUCUAGCCCUUGCUUUAGACCUUCCUAUGACGAAAUUGCAUCAGAUUGUCAAGGUAUAGUGUCAAUGACAUCAAGCAAACUACAAGCGUCAUCAGGGAGAUUAAAGCUACUAUGAGCUAGUUUCAGCAUUGCACUUUCAUUUUUGAAGGACAAGAAACAAAUUUCAAGGCACACAACCAUGGUAGACAUACUUUUGGUUUGAAGCUAGGCCGCCAUCUAUGGUUACGUAGCAACCCCCCCCCCCUCCCGACCAUUCUUGUCUUACCAUGAACAUUAUAGAGCAAGCUCAAACAAAUGAACAUUAUAGAGCAAAAGUAUAAAGUGUGUUUCGACUUAAACAAGUGACCCGUACUAAGUCCGUUUAUGGAGCCUUAUAAGUACCUCAUGUGUGGCACCAGCACAUGGCAACUCCAAACAUUUUGUAUGACAAACUCAGUGGCGCAACUAUCGCAAUUUUAGUUGUCACGCAUGACAACUUUACUGAUGCGGGUAUGUCAAAUUUUGUUCUCAAGCAUGGCAAAAUUUGUGAUUCAGAUUAUUUUUGACAGAAACUUGUUGUGUGUCACUGGAAUUUACCAUCUUCCAUGACUGUAAUUGUCAUAGAAAAAACGUCAGGGGCCGAACAAAAAUGCUACACCUACAUGAACAGACUACAUAAAGCUAUGUUUCUAUCCUUCCUAAGGGCAUCUCCAACGGUAACCAGCAUUUUUUCUCACAUCCCCAGUCCAGGGACACGGAGGUGGGAGAACACCAUCUAACAGUAGCCACAUACAUUUCGAACCCUUUUUUAACAAACCGGAUAAAAUCAAACACGAUCGAAUUUUAUGCAAACAUGAUGGAUAUCAUACAAACGCGACGGAUUUUAAUACAUUUCGAACAUGUAGAACAAAAAAAGACGCACCCCUAAACUUGUCAUAUAGCAGUGACGCCUCGCGUCCGAGCCCGUUUUGUCCUCCAUCCGCCAUCUCCAUGAGCACCGCCGAUAAGAACGAUGAAGUGAAGGUGCAGUCUACGACGAGGAAGAGCAGAACACUGGUGACGGACCGGCCCAUGUGGGACACAAGGCACCAUCGCCUAUUGUGGCCUAGGGAAUCCCUAUUUGACGCUCUUUGCAUUAAAUUAUCAGGGCUUUGCAUAGGCGAAGCGAAUUGGCGACGUGAUCUGGGCUGGCCACAUUUUUUAAAAAAUAUUUGUUUUUCCAAAUUGUUCAUAACUUCAAAAUAUGAUCUUGUUUUUCAUAUAUAUAUUUUUUAAAUGUUCUUUUUUUUGCUUUCCUAUUUUUUUGUUUGACAUUUUCAAAUUUUUGUUCUGAAUUUCAAAAAAUGUACUCGUGUUCAAAUUUUGUUCACAUUUUUUAUUUAAAUGUUCGUGCUUCAAAAAUUAAUCAGGAGUUACAAAAAAUGUUUUUGCUUUCAAAAUGUGAUCUUAUUUAAAAAAUGUUUGUGUUUCGAAAAUUGUUCUCGUAUUAAAAAAAAUAGCACGAUUUUUCAAAAAUGUCCAUGUUCUGAAACAAAAUCAGGGAUUUAUGGAAAUGUUCUUGUUUAAAAAAUAAUCAUGAUUUCAUAAAAAUAUUUGCGUUUCUAAUUUUGUUUUCCAUUUCAAAAAAAUCAUUAUUUUCAUAAAAUGUUCAUCUUUACAAAAAUAGUCUCAUUCUCAAAAUUUCCUCAAGAUUUUCAUAAAAAUGUUAUGCUUGAAAAAGUGUCCAGGAAUUUAAAAACAAAAUCACUUUUUUUCACAAUUUGAGAGAAAUGUUCUUGUUUCGAAAAUGUCAAUGAAUUAAAAAAAAUGUUCGCAUUUUAAACAUUUUUUUGGAAAUUUCAAAAAGCUUAGCCACAUAUCAAAAUUUGUGUACUUUUACGAAUAAUGUUUAUAAAAUUUCAAAAUCUGACCAAAUUAUAAAUUUUGCUAUGAUAAUUAAAAAACUCCGAAACAAAAUUUGUAAACAGGAAUAUUCUUUGAAAUUUCUGAAGAAAAUUUGAAACACGCAUAUUGUUUUUUAAAAUUGCGACCAAUUGUUGAAAUAAAAACACUAUGUAAAACUCCAAAAAAAUUGAAAACACGAACAUUUUUCAAAAUCUUUGAAUAUGUGAAUAAAAAAUAAUAAUAGGAACAUUUUUUUAGCUUUUACUUUUUCUAAAUUUUUUUAAAUUGAAAUUCUGAAGAACAAGAAAGUGAUUUUUUUUUUGAAAAUAAAUAGAAGAUGAAAUAUAUAAAAAACGAAAAAACAUUCAGAAAAAGGAUAUGCUUAUUGAUUUUGCAAUUGAGAAAGUGAAAGGGCUUAUUUCUUUCUUCAGGGGUACAUACAAGCUGGUUUCUUAGAUGAAUUGGAGAUAGCCAAAGAAAUUACACUUGAGAUGGAUAUUGAUGCAACAUUUCGUAAAAGGAGAGAAAUUAAUAGAAAAAAACAAUUUGAUGAGAAUCCAAACGACACAAAUAUUACCACACAGUCUGCAGAAGAACCAUUUAGAAUCAACUAUUUUAUAUGUGUUGUUGAUCAAGCAAUUUCCUCAAUCACAAGGAGAUUUGAGCAAUGUGAAGGUUACCAAAAAAUAUUUGGUUUCUUAUUUGCUUUUGAAACAUUGCGUUCAUUGGAUAAGGAUAGUUCGAAAUCUUCUUGUGUUGAUCUUGAGGCUGCCCUUAUGAAGGUUAAAUAAUCUGAUAUUGAUGCCAAUGAUCUAUUUGUUGAGUUAAAGUUUCUUCAAAAUUUUAUGCGAAAAGAAAAUAUCGGACCCGUUGAAAUUUUGAAUUUUCUAAAGCGGCAUAAUUAUUUUCCCAAUGCAUGUAUUGCAUAUACAGUUUUGCUGAUCAUUCCUGUGACAGUGGCAUUGACAGAAAGAAGUUUGACUAAACUAAAGCUAUUGAAGUCCUAUAUACGUAAUACUAUAACACAUCAAAGACUCAAUGAUUUGGCCACGAUAGCACUUGAGAGUGAAGUGUUGGAGAAGAUUGAUUACGGGGAUAUCAUUGAAGAUUUUCAUUUCAGAGAAUACUAAAUGAAUAAGGAUGUUCAAACAAAUAGCAAUCGGAAGUUUGAUAGGUAUGAAUUUUUUAUAUGUCCAAUUGUUAUGCAAGACAAUAUAUUAUAUAUGCUAUAACUUUUUUCUACGAGAUAUAUAUACAUUAUAAUUACUUGUUAGUUUUUUUUGUGAGAUAGGGCUUCAUUUUAAGUUUUGCAUAGGGCCCCAGAUUUUGCUGGCCUGGCCCUGCGAGCGUGGUAGAUAUCUGCCUCAUAUGGUCACGCGUCUCCGGCAUUGAACAUGCACAGGCGUCGAAGACACGUCACGAGCAGUCCCCUUGGCCGGCGAGCCGCUUCAAUGUCAACGUCAAUGAGAGGUCACGUCCGCUCUUUAGUAGGGAGCGGUCGUUCUACAACGACAUGAAUGAGAGCAGUUGGCUUCGUGCGGGAAGCGUGCACAGAAAGAGGGGGGGGGGGGGUGAACGAGGAACGUGGAUCGGUAAGUGCUCCCACGCUUCCCUUUCAUUUUUGUCUCCGGUUUACGUAAGCUUUUCGUAAGAAUUUUACGUAGCUCGGGCCAGAGUGCCACGCACAUUAGAUGUGGCACUUAUUAUUUGUUUUUUUAGGAUUCUAUGUUCGUUUCUAAUACGUUAGACUAGACCACAUGUAAACGUGCAAGUCUACAACACGAGCCCAACUAAUAAGCCCCGCAUAUAUACAUGCAAGCACACUUGGGGUUACCGACUGUUGGAUGGACUCCCCGCCAGGUUUCCUCAUGACCAGUGUGAUGGCUGAUCGUGUUGGUGCCAUUGUUGUUGAAUAAAGCUCAUAGUUUCCCGCAACAAAAAAAAAUAAUAAGCCCCGCAUAUAUACACCGAUCCUGCACCCGUCGAUCUCAUCAAUUUGCCUUACUAGUAGUACCCCAGUUUACCCUAAAAGUUCCAAGGAAAGCAGUACUCCAGCGCCGCCAUGCACGAGCACGACGAGGCGGCCACCACAAGGGCGAAGACGUGCACACCGUACCUGCCGGACGAGCUGGCGUCGGAGAUCCUGGCCCGGCUCCCCGUGGAGCCGCUGCUCCGAUUCAGGUCCGUCUGCAAGGCCUGGCGCGGCGUCAUCGACGAGAGCUCCUUCCCCCGCGAGCACCUCCGCUUCCAGACCUCGUCCCUGCUCGUCGCGCCGUGGCUCGGGGAGAAGGACAACGACAGUCCCCUCCCUUCUUCAACCGAAGAGCUGACCGCUGCCGGUCUGUACCAGUGGGACGGGAAGCAGCAGGGCGUCGCCACGCUCCUGCACGCCAUGCCCGGCUGCCGCUCCAAGAAGGAGGAGUUGCACAGCAUGGCGCAUUGCGAUGGGCUGGCGCUGUUGCCCAGCGACGAUGCGGUGCGCGUAGCCAACCCGGCCACCCGGCGCAGCGUCACGCUUCCCCCGACCCCUAAUUGCUUCGACGGCCCUCAGGCUUUCGGUCUUGGCCACGACCCUCGCUCCAACGCUUACAAGGUUGCUUGCUUCUACGGUUACCAUGAUCUUGACGUACGCGCACCGGGUAGCCACCACGGCUAUACUGCCAAGAUGGGGGUGUUCACCAUAGGGAAAGACCUUUGUUGGCGUGACACGGCGGCAGCGCCGCCUCCUCAUCAAGUCAUGCGAGGGCGAACGGCGACCUUCUUCAAGGGGUCCUUGCUCUGGACACUCAAGGUCAAGGAGGGGGUUCUGGACAGCGCGCCAGUCGCCCCAGGCUUCGUCCGCUUCAGGUUAGAGGAUGAGUCGUUCAGCAUGGUACCGGCGCCUCCUUGCACCCCGAGGUUGAACUACAAGGCGUCCAAUUUAACUGAGGUCCGGGGAGAGCUGUGCGUGUGCGCACGUCGGUCAGUAGCGGUUCAUCACGCGGUUUACGAGAUGUGGGUGUGCGCUGAUCUAGAAGAUGGCGCCAAUCCGCCACGAUGGGAUAUGCGCCAUGUUGUCACCGGGGCCUUCUUAUUCCGAUCUUUUAUUCCCAAGAUCACGACUGCCGACGCCAUACUGUUCCAUUUUGAAGAAAAGUAUCUUUACAACUGCCAUCUACAAAAUCCAACAUUUAAUUUUGAUGAUGUGAUUGAAAUGGAGGGCUUGAGGUAUCAUCACCUCGACACCGAUACAUUUGUCGAAUACACAAAAAAAAUUAUUGCUGGCCUUCAUGUGAUCCCCUAUGUUCCAAGCCUUGUUCGGAUCUAGGUUUCAGUAAAUUUAUUUAUGUUAAUUAGUGUUAUCGAACAUGAAGGUGCAUUCAAAUUUUGUCGUUCUGUUAUUAAAAGGGGUUGAGGCAGGUCCCAUACCCUUUAGUCCCGGUUGGUGUCUCCAACCGGGACUAAAUGUUAUGAAAGAAAGCAGUACAAAUUUGAGAUCAAUGAGAGAAGGUGUUUGAUGAUGAAUAGAGCUACUUAGAGGAAUCCAACGGUUUUAGAAUUUAAUAGAAAUGAGGUUGGUAUCAAUUUGAGCCAGUGUGUAAAUUUGUAGCUCAUUUCAAGAAAAUUUGCAAUGUAAAUUUUUCAAACCCUAGAAAUGAACUGAAAUGGUCUUGACAAGUUUUGGUCAAGUUAACUUGUUUUCCAACUUGUGGCAUUUGAUGGGGGUGAUGCUCAUGACCAUCUGGCAAUGUGAUAUAAAUUUGAGAUCAAUGGGAGAAAGUUGCCAAUGUAACUUUGUCAAACCCUACAGAUGUGCAGAAUUAGUUUUGGCAUACUUUGACCAAGCUAAUUUGUUAUCCUUGAUGAACCACUUGGCCUAGAUGAAUAUUUAGACCACUUUAGUAGGUGUACCAAGUUUGAGCUUAUCUGGACAUGUUUAGCAAUGUAAAGUUGCUCAAACUAGAAAACGGACAGAGAUGGUUUUGAGGGAAUUUGAUGAUGUUAUCUUGUUCUCCAACACACGAGACUUGGCAAGAUCAUCAAAUAUGGCAUUUGUGAUAUGAUAGAAUUUUCUUGGAAUUUAUGGUGAAUAUUUCCUUUGUAAAUAUUUCAAAAACUUGAAAUAUCCAGAAAGGCUAAUUGAAGGGUUUGACUAAUAUUUUGAGCUAUGUAAAAGAGAGAGUCACUGGAGGUAGAAUUAAUAUGACUAGGGUGGAGCAACUGUCCAAUGAAAGUGAAGUUAGAGAUUGGCUCUGUGAUUAAGCAGAAGUGUAUUGAAGCCCGUCAUACGUUAGGGCAGAGCUGGAGAGAAGAGGCUAUUUUGUGUUGUUUUACCUUUGUCAGUGUGAUGGAAUAUGAGCAUGUUCUGGUAACCCAAGACACUAUCUCUUUGGAUUUGAAAUGGUGCUGUUCAGAAUGAAGCAAAGCAUUGACCUACCCCGGAAGGAAGGAAAAAAAGGUGAGGCUUGACCUAAAGGCCUUUCUUUCUCAUCUGGUUUUCCUUGCACAAACGCAAAGAUGCGCACUUCUCCGACGUACUCAAAAAAUGAAAGAAAGAAAUCAUCGCAUUGAACUUGUGGGAACAGCUGCGUACGCUCUGGAGGUGGACUGGCCUUCAGGGUUCAGAGUCGAGACGGAGAGAGGGAGAACGAAGGAAAGAAAAGGCAAAGGCCGGUCGAUUGAAGGGGCGCCUUUCCAACCGAGAGCUGCGGUGCGGCAGCGGAAGGAGCCGUACGUACAGUCGAGGCCUUGUCCACGGAAGGACGCCGUUACGAGGGCGCGCCGCGGAACCCGCGAAACGCAUUCCGCGUGCCAAGAAUCCAGCCGGGGCAUGGGACGUACGCACGCCGUCUUCCUUCCCCGCCCGUUGAAAACCAAGGAGUCCUGCACCUUCUCUUCUCCGAGGAGUCCCACACAACGGUUUAAAAAUACCAUUACUCUCCGUCAUCCAUAUUACCACUUGCCACAGCUUUGGUAUAAUAACAAAUUUGUUUUUUGUUCUUUUUUUUGAAACUUUAAAAUAUGAUUUGAGCAGUACCUUGAUCACUUCCAUCAACCAAAUUGCAGGAUGGCUCAUACGGGCAGAGUGAUUAUAAGUAGUAGUACUGGCACCUUUUCUCUUCGUCGGAGGUGACAUCGGGCACAUUAGGGAAGGGAGCUCACCCGUGGAACAUCUGAAUAUCACUAUACUAUAUCCAUGGUUGAAAGAUAACCACAAGAACAGAAGAACCUGCAACCAUGUACACCAGUCAACAAAAAUAUCAGGAUCUCUAAAAUCGCAAGGCACCAUAAAUUACAGGACCUUGAAGUCUCUACCUCCACGCGCCGCUAAAUUAGACACGAGUCACUGCUAGUCGCUUUACAGAGUUCAGUAGUCCGUUGGUCGACGCGUUUGGACCGGAUGUGCUCAAACCACCCAAUGGAUGGAAAUUGGCAUGACUGCCCUUGAAAAGUUCAUCAAUUUUCAAGCUCGCUUGUGUUACUUCAGAAGUGCUAGAGCCACUUAA